UUAUUUGAAACAGGACACAACCUACAAUAUAGGGUAAACAAGAGUGAUUAAAAUAAAGUGGGCCUAAAAGCAGCCAUCUUUAAAAAAGCGUUAAAGCUUAACUAUUCCCCACUCGUAAUACCUAAACUUCCCACUAACCCCUCACCACUAUUGAACGAUUUUAUAUCUUUAUAAAAGCUAUCAUGCUAGAACUAGUAACAAGAAAUUGCCUUUCUCCUAAAUGUAAAUAUAAGCCAAAAUAGACUAUCUAUUGGUUAUUAACGUAAAUGCUAAAUUAUAGUAACACUCGCUAGAAAAUCCUAUAACCCCCAACGUUAACCUUACACUAGAACAUUACAGGAAAGAUUAAAAGAAAAAGAAGGAACUCGGCAAAUUUUAGCCUCGCCUGUUUACCAAAAACAUCGCCUCUUGAUAAAACAUAAGAGGUCCAGCCUGCCCAGUGACAAAGUUUAACGGCCGCGGUACCCUAACCGUGCGAAGGUAGCAUAAUCACUUGUUCUUUAAAUGAGGACUCGUAUCAACGGCACUACGAGGGCUAUACUGUCUCCUUUUUCCAAUCAGUGAAACUGAUCUCCCCGUGAAGAAGCGGGGAUGAGAAU
rnacentral:rRNA from 1 species